rnacentral:rRNA from 1 species
AUUGAACGCUGGCGGCAGGCCUAACACAUGCAAGUCGAACGAGAGGCGGACGGGUGAGUAAUGUCUGGGAAACUGCCUGGUGGAGGGGGAUAAAUACUGGAAACGGUAGCUACAACCGCAUAACAUCAUAUGUGCCCUGAUGGGAUUAGCUUGUUGGUGGGGUAACGGCACACCAAGGCGACGAUCCCUAGCUGGUCUGAGAGGAUGACCAGCCACACUGGAACUGAGACAGUGUCCAGACUCCUACGUGAGGCAGCAGUGGGGAAUAUUGCACAAUGGGCGCAAGCCUGAUGCAGCCAUGCCGCGUGUAUGAAGAAGGCCUUCGGGUUGUAAAGUACUGUCAGCGGGGAGGCGUUACCCGCAGAGGAAGCACCGGCUAACUCCGUGCCAGCAGCCGCGGUAAUUC